UACGAAUAGUCCGCGAAUAAACGACGAAUAGUGCGAAUAGUCCGCGAAUAGUCGACGAAUAGUACGAAUAGUCCGCGAAUAGUCGACGAAUAGUACGAACAGUCGACGAAUAGUACGAAUAGUCCGCGAAUAGUGCAAUAGAGAGUUUGCAAGGCUUUGCACCGUGCUGUAGAACUAAAUUUACCGAAGCGGAGCUGGGGGGGGGGCUCUAUUGACAAACAUGAAUUCGUGAAAACAUUCGUUGAUGUCAAUGACGUCAUACGUAAUCGGUAAAAAUUACGGGACCUGCAC